rnacentral:rRNA from 1 species
UACAGAGGUCUCAAGCGUUGUUCGGAUUCAUUGGGCGUAAAGGGUGUGUAGGUGGCGCCGUUAGUCGGGUGUGAAAUCUCGGAGCUUAACUCCGAAACUGCAUUCGAUACUGCCGUGCUUGAGGACUGGAGAGGAGACUGGAAUUUACGGUGUAGCGGUGAAAUGCGUAGAUAUCGUAAGGAAGACCAGUGGCGAAGGCGGGUCUCUGGACAGUUCCUGACGCUGAGGCACGAAGGUCAGGGGAGCAAACGGG